AUUGAACGCUGGCGGCAGGCCUAACACAUGCAAGUCGAACGGUAGCACAGAGAGCUUGCUCUCGGGUGACGAGUGGCGGACGGGUGAGUAACGUCUGGGAAACUGCCCGAUGGAGGGGGAUAACUACUGGAAACGGUAGCUAAUACCGCAUAACGUCGCAAGACCAAAGUGGGGGACCUUCGGGCCUCACACCAUCGGAUGUGCCCAGAUGGGAUUAGCUAGUAGGUGGGGUAAUGGCUCACCUAGGCGACGAUCCCUAGCUGGUCUGAGAGGAUGACCGGCAACACUGGAACUGAGACACGGUCCAGACUCCGACGGGAGGCAGCAGUGGGGAAUAUUGCACAAUGGGCGCAAGCCUGAUGCAGCCAUGCCGCGUGUAUGAAGAAGGCCUUCGGGUUGUAAAGUACUUUCAGCGGGGAGGAAGGCGGUGAAGUUAAUAACUUCACCGAUUGACGUUACCCGCAGAAGAAGCACCGGCUAACUCCGUGCCAGCCGCCGCCGUAA
rnacentral:rRNA from 1 species